GGGGAUGACGGAUUUUGACAGGACAUUGACAUUUUUCAAUAUGCAAGACGAGCUUUGCCCAAGUCAUCUCGUUAAACUGACUAGGGCAUCUAUAAAUGCUAACGCAUUUUCUAAAGUGAAGGCCGCAUUCGCGCAAGCGUUUGCCCAGCCGGCACUUGCCCUCGCUUAAUACAAGUGAAGGCACUUACCCCACGGCCCUCCCCGGCUUCGGACCGGUAAGCUCAUUUGGGGACGCACUCUUGGCGGUUGAUUUACCCGACCAAGACUAAGCAAAUGUAAAUCGACUUCUGUAGUAAGCAGCCCCGACGCUUCUACAGAAGCUUAUGUCGGGGCUAAUCUUGUGAACAAUUGAAAGAUUGAUUCGUUCUGGACCCGGGUUUAACUCCCGGCAUCUCCACCA
rnacentral:tmRNA from 1 species